rnacentral:rRNA from 1 species
UACGGAAGGCAGCAGUGGGGAAUAUUGCACAAUGGGCGCAAGCCUGAUGCAGCCAUGCCGCGUGUAUGAAGAAGGCCUUCGGGUUGUAAAGUACUUUCAGUCGUGAGGAAGGUGUUAAGGUUAAUAACCUUAGCAAUUGACGUUAGCGACAGAAGAAGCACCGGCUAACUCCGUGCCAGCAGCCGCGGUAAUACGGAGGGUGCGAGCGUUAAUCGGAAUUACUGGGCGUAAAGGGCACGCAGGCGGUUAAUUAAGUUGGAUGUGAAAUCCCCGGGCUUAACCUGGGAAUGGCAUUCAAGACUGGUUAGCUAGAGUCUUGUAGAAGGGGGUAGAAUUCCAUGUGUAGCGGUGAAAUGCGUAGAGAUGUGGAGGAAUACCGGUGGCGAAGGCGGCCCCUGGACAAAGACUGACGCUCAUGUGCGAAAGCGUGGGGAGCAAACAGGGAUUAGAUACC